rnacentral:rRNA from 1 species
UACGGAGGGUGCAAGCGUUAAUCGGAAUUACAGGGCGUAAAGCGUGCGCAGGCGGUUUGUUAAGUCUGCUGUGAAAUCCCCGAGCUCAACUUGGGAAUUGCAGUGGAUACUGGCAAGCUGGAGUACGGUAGAGGAAGGUGGAAUUCCCGGUGUAGCAGUGAAAUGCGUAGAGAUCGGGAGGAACACCAGUGGCGAAGGCGGCCUUCUGGACCAGUACUGACGCUCAUGCACGAAAGCGUGGGGAGCAAACAGG